GGCAAUGAACCGUAUGGGGCGGUUUCUUAAACCGUAGGUCGCCGGUUCGAGUCCGGCCUCGGGCUCCA
rnacentral:tRNA from 1 species